rnacentral:lncRNA from 1 species
UGACUACUCACAAUGAGGCUAUUGGAGUUUGACUGACACAUAAACAUGGUCUCAAUGAGCCCUUGCAGUCGAUGUUGGUGACAGUUGGUCCAUUGGAGGAGUAGGAUGUGCAUCAAGAUGAAAUCCAUCGAUUUUGAUAAAAAGAAGUAAUCCCAUGAGAUUUGAGAGGCUAAGUCUGAGAGUCUGUGGCCACAGCAGUGUGAUUGAUAAAAAAAAAAUUUAUAAGGAUCACAAUUGGACUUGAGCUAAUCAAAUCUAUCAUAUGACUGAUGAUGAGAUUUGAUGAUUUAUCCAUGAUCUGCCAUCUAGUUGAGACUCACGAUAGAGGGACUGAAGCACACGUGAACUAUACUUUAAGGUUCUUUUUCGAC